rnacentral:rRNA from 1 species
UAACGUGGACCCGUGAUCCGGGUUGCGGACAGUGUCUGGUGGGUAGUUUGACUGGGGCGGUCUCCUCCUAAAGAGUAACGGAGGAGCACGAAGGUUGGCUAAUCCUGGUCGGACAUCAGGAGGUUAGUGCAAUGGCAUAAGCCAGCUUGACUGCGAGCGUGACGGCGCGAGCAGGUGCGAAAGCAGGUCAUAGUGAUCCGGUGGUUCUGAAUGGAAGGGCCAUCGCUCAACGGAUAAAAGGUACUCCGGGGAUAACAGGCUGAUACCGCCCAAGAGUUCAUAUCGACGGCGGUGUUUGGCACCUCGAUGUCGGCUCAUCACAUCCUGGGGCUGAAGUAGGUCCCAAGGGUAUGGCUGUUCGCCAUUUAAAGUGGUACGCGAGCUGGGUUUAGAACGUCGUGAGACAGUUCGGUCCCUAUCUGCCGUGGGCGCUGGAGAACUGAGGGGGGCUGCUCCUAGUACGAGAGGACCGGAGUGGACGCAUCACUGGUGUUCGGGUUGUCAUGCC